rnacentral:rRNA from 1 species
AGAGUUUGAUCCUGGCUUAGGAUGAACGCUGACAGAAUGCUUAACACAUGCAAGUCUACUUGAUCCUCGGGUGAAGGUGGCGGACGGGUGAGUAACGCGUAAAGAACUUGCCUUACAGACUGGACAACAUUUGGAAACGAAUGCUAAUACCGGAUAUUAUGAUUGGGUCGCAUGAUCUGGUUAUGAAAGCUAUAUGCGCUGUGAGAGAGCUUUGCGUCCCAUUAGUUAGUUGGUGAGGUAACGGCUCACCAAGACGAUGAUGGGUAGCCGGCCUGAGAGGGUGAACGGCCACAAGGGGACUGAGACACGGCCCUUACUCCUACGGGAGGCAGCAGUGGGGAAUAUUGGACAAUGGACCAAAAGUCUGAUCCAGCUAAAUUCUGUGUGCACGAUGAAGUUUUUCGGAAUGUAAAGUGCUUUCAGUUGGGAAGAAGUCAGUGACGGUACCAACAGAAGAAGCGACGGCUAAAUACGUGCCAGCCGCAGC